rnacentral:rRNA from 1 species
GAUAAACGCUGGCGGCGCACAUAAGACAUGCAAGUCGAACGGACUUAACUCAUUCUUUACGAUUGAGAGCGGUUAGUGGCGGACUGGUGAGUAACACGUAAGCAAUCUGCCUAUCAGAGGGGAAUAACAGUGAGAAAUCAUUGCUAAUACCGCAUAUGCUAACAGUAUCGCAAUGAUACAGUUAGGAAAGGAGCAAUCCGCUGAUAGAUGAGCUUGCGCCUGAUUAGAUAGUUGGUGGGGUAAUGGCCUACCAAGUCGACGAUCAGUAGCCGGAACUGAGAGGUUGAACGGCCACAUUGGGACUGAGAUACGGCCCAGACUCCUACGGGAGGCAGCAGUCGGAAUAUUGGGCAAUGGGCGCAAGCCUGACCCAGCAAUGCCGCGUGAAGGAA